rnacentral:tRNA from 1 species
CUUGUAGCCCAGUUGGAUAGAGCGUUUGGCUACGAACCAAAAGGUCGGGGGUUCGAAUCCCUCCAAGC